GGCUGCUGCCGCCGCGCGCGCUCCAUUGUGGAUUCAUCUCUUGUCCCGCUAGAGGAAAAGUAGGAAAAAGUUAGUGCCGCGCGCCUCCGCGCAGGAAAGACACAGGGAGGGGUGCGCGCCUGGCUGCGCGCGGGCGACAGGGGGGGCCGGCGGGUGGGGGGAGGACACUAGGGUCCCGCGCGGACACGAGCGCACUCCGUACUCGCCUGCAGACGCGAGAAUAUAACAUUUUUACGCGUAACCUUGCUGGAAGGGAAGAGGGAGCGCGAGCGAGCGCGUGGCGGGCAGCGCCGGGGGAGCGCGAGGCGCGGGCGCGUGUAGCGGGACGGACGGGUUACAAUGUAGACGGAGCGGCGGACGCAGCACUUAUGGGCUCGGAGGCAGUGGAGGACUGUGUCCAGGGGGCGCUUUCCUCCCUCUACCCCCCAUUUGAAAGUACAGCCCCCCCACUCCUGUCCCAGGUGUUCUCCGUGCUGGAGUCAACCUAUCAGCAUGACAGCUUGCGAUACCUCCUGGACUACUUCAUCCCAGCCAAGCACCUACUACACAGGCUACAGCAGCACGCGUGUGCCCAGUACUUAGGCUGCCUCUUCUUGCACUCCGGUUGGCCCCUCUGCCUGGGGGAGAAGGUGGUGGUACAGCUCUCCACCCUGGACUGGAGGCUGCUGCGCAGCACUGACUUCUACCUGCAGGUGGUGCCUUUCUCCACCCGCUGCCCCCGCCUGGCCCUUAAGUGCCUGGCCCCCGGUGGCCGCAACGUGCAGGAGAUCCUAGUGCCCGAGUCGCAGCACGCCCUCGUGUUCACCCCUGAGUGGUUGCAGAGCGUCAACAAGGAGCGGGGGUUCAUGAGAGAAGGUGCUGGACGCCUCGACACCUGUCUGGUGAGCACCUGUGAUGGAGUGGUCCGGUUGCCGUGGGAGGAGGUGGUGUACCCCAAGUUCGUCCACCACGAGGCCGGCGACGCUGACAGCUCCUCCGCUGGCCAUGACUGGGGUUCAUCCUGCGACCUGGACUCUCUGUCGUGGGAUGAGGAAGAGGAGGAGGAGGAGGAGGUAGAGGCGGAGGAGGAAGAUCUGCCUCCAGACGGCGACUCGGCAGACGCCGGAGGCGAGUACGUGGAGCUGAUGGAGCUGAGAGGUGGUCCGGAUGGUGGUUCGGAUCCUAAGCGGUACCUGGAGAUGCAGGGGAUCAGCAGCAGAACCAAGACGCUGCCGCUGUGUAGGAGGGGUCGGGCUAUCAAGCUGCGGAGGGGCAGGGCCUGGGGCCACGGGAAAUAUGAUCCCGCGGGCGCCAGGAGACCGUCUGGCAGUGCUGCACCGAAGGAAAGCCCCAGAUCCGCCAGCCUAGGGAGAGUGGCAGGAACGGCCGGAGACGGACUGGCAUUGAGUUCCGGGGCCUCCUCCCUCCGGUCCCCAAGUGAGCAGGACCAGGCUGGUGGUGGAGACACUCUGAGCCCCAGAGGCUCUGGACUGUCCCUGGUAGGUCCUGCCCCGGAGAGGAAACCUGGGGUUGGCAGGGAGAAGGACAGCAUUGGAGGGAGCUCACAGGCCUUGGGUGGAGAGCGAGGAAAGAGCGAGUCUGGAAACUGUGGGCCAUUGGGAGGCGAAAUGGUCGAUUCCAAAAUUGAACACGUGGAGAGUGAACGCACAGAUGUGCACAACGUUCCAGAUGCUGGUUGCGUGAUGGAGGACGUAGAGGCGAGAUCGGGUGAUGCUACCAAAGACCAGGGUACCUGCGAAGGUCUGUCGGCUGGGGUUUCCGGGCCUUCUCCGGAACCUUCUACAGAACCGCUUCACCACACCAUCCCCAAUUCUGGCCAGUGCAGCCAGGACAUCCCCGCACCUCCGAAGGACAGGGCGGAAGGACGUGUGGAUACAAAGCGCAGAGAGAGCCUUAGUCCUCCUGUUGGACCAACCAAAGACUUACCAACCCAACGCGGUUUAGAGACCGAACAAAGCGCAACCUCAACGGCCCUUCCUGCUGAGACGGGUCCGCGUCCUGCCCCCAUGUUGGGAGUAAACGGGCAGCUUGAAAACCCGCAGGACAAAGUUUGUCCGGUGGAAAAGGAAACGAAGGUAGCAGGAUUGAGACCACACAGGAGGAAGAGGAAGGGAAAGGGAGCCAAAGGAAAGGCUAAGCCGGCUGGGUGCGUGAGUCCGGGCGGCCGGGACCAACCCUCUGCAAAGACCCCCAGCAAAGUGUCCCGGGAUGAGGACAGCACAAAGCUGGACAGCCUUUCCCAAGAAGAGCAGGAGAAGGAUGAAUGUGCACCAGCCAAUGAGAAAGUGGACAGUCUGGAAGAUGGCAAGACUGCUGAAGAUAUCCCCAGCGUCCAAUCGGAAGCUCUGCCCAAGGAAAACGGCCAAUCGCACGACUCCGUUUCCGAUGGGUCUCUCCCAGAGGAAAAUUCCGACCAAUCAAGCGCUUCCCCUCAUCAGGCCCCUCAUCUCCUUAGGUUGCUGGACCCUGAACUCCUGGAGUCUGGAGUCAUAGCUCUGACAGGCACCGUGGACAGGGUGGGUCGGGCGCUGGUGGUAGCGCGGGUCCCAGAAGACGGUUACAGCAAAGAGGAGCUCUCCCACGUGCUGAUCUGCUACCACGCCAUAACACGCCCCUGGGUGCAGGAGAAAGGACUGGCCGUGCUGGUAGACAGCAGACUCUCCCCUCCCACCGCUCUGUGUCUGGCGGCUCUGCGGCACUUCCAGGACCUGGUACCAACUGGCCUGGGCUGCGUGCUGGUCCUCACAGAUGAGCAGCAGGACUCCAGUCCCCAGCGCCCGGAGGGUGUGGAGGUGCACGUGGUGCGGGGGACGGGCAUCCUUCAGCGCUUCGUGGAUCGGCUUCAGUUGCCCACAGCUCUCGAUGGAGACUUUCCGCACUCGCACUUGGACUGGCUCGCCUACAGGCUGAGCCUGGAACGCCUGACGGAAAGAUGCGAGAGCGCCCUCUCUCUGCUCGGUGGGGCAUUGCACUCCUUGGAGACAGAGCCUCUACCGCAAAGCACAAAGGUGGUGUCCCUCAGUGUGGCCAAACACAAGCAGCUGAUGAUGGACGUCUUGGCUGACCAAAGGCUGACCGAGCUGCAGAGAGGAGGUGGAGCCUGGCUGGCAGGACUGACCAGUCGUGGUACUGAGCCAGCGCUGAGGUCACAAGACUGCAGGGCUGCUCUAGCCGUGACCUCUGACCUCUACAACAGCGUGGACGACGCACUGCACAGACUGGUCCGAGUGUCCAACCAGAGGGGUCGAGACCUGGAGACCCUCGGCAAGCUGGUAGCUCUGGAGGAGAGACUGGACCAGUGUGAGAGGGAUAUAGAGAAGGUCCAGGAGCAGCUGGAGGGGUAUAAGGACACCCCCCUUUCUCUGAGCAAACUCUCCCUCAAACAGCAGAAGUUCAAGGCCUUCAGAGAGUCCACUCUGGAGCUCCACAGGGAAACCCACUCCGUGCUGGGACAGCUGGAGAGAUGGGCGGAGCUGGAGUGGGCGGGGCGAGAGUGGGCGGGGCUGGAGGCGGUGCUGGAGCGCCUGCCGCCGGUUAGGGAGCGGCUGCGGGACAUUUCGCACUGUCUGUCCGACUGCUGGACCCAGAUGGACAGCACACAGAGGCUGCUGUCCACACUCACCGAGGCGUCCCAGUGGUGCGAUGCCGUCUCCGCCGCCACAGGCCCCCCCUCCGCCUCGCCGCUCUCCUCGCUCCCCCCGAUCCCGCCCUCCCGUUUCCAGGACGCCCGGGCGCUGGCCAUGGAGCUGGGGGGCGGCCCGCUGCUGGAGCUCUGGUCUCGCACCCUGGAGCGCUACCAGCGCACGCUGGCCCAGUUCAAGACCCGGCUGCUGCAGGCUCCGCCCGGAGCCCCUCCCGUGCCCCGCCCCAAGGCGGCGUCGUCGUCCAGCAUGUGGGACCUGCUCGGCGCGGACGGGGAGCUCGAGGGCGAGGGCGAGGGCGACUGGGGGGGCCUGCAGUCCUGGGGGUCCCUGGCCUCUCUCUUCCGCCCGCAGAACUGCUCCACCCUGAAGAUCGGGGACGAGCGCAAGAAGGACACGGCAGCAGGAGGGGGGGGGUUCCUGCAAGCGCUGCUGCACCCUGCCAAGAAGAGUCCGCCCGAAGCCGCCCUUCCUCCCAAACCCCCCCGGAAACGCCACCCCAGCUUCGACCUGCAGGCCCUGCUGGCUCCCCGCCGCGGUCCCGCCAACUCGCGUCCGGGGGACCUCCCUGCCGCCACCAGCCGAAGCGCCCCCAUGUCCUGGCUGGGUCGAAAGGCGCUCGUCGAUCCCGUCCUCAGCAUCGGCGUGGCGGCCGCCCUCCCCGGGGACGGCGCGGCGGGCGGGGCGACGUCCGGGGCCGGGAGCGUGCUCAUCCGAGGAGUGGAGGUCAGCAGCAAGGAGGUGGUGGACCACACCGGGUCGCCGCGGCAGCACGUCCUCCUGAGCAGAGCGGAGAGGGAGACGGGGGGCGAGAGGCAGGGCACCACCGCCCAGAGUAAAAUCUGCCAGCUGUGGUGUCGGCUUCUCAGCUCGGAGCGGCAGUACGUGGCUCUUCUCAAAGGCGUGGAGGAGAACUACCUGCCCCCGCUCGACUGCCCCGACGCCCCCGCUCAUCUCCGGGGCAAGUGGGACUCUCUUUUCGCCAACUGGAGCAACCUGUGCGCCUUCCACACGCAGCACCUUCUCCCAGCCAUGGAGGGCGCUCUCACGCAAACCCUGCUCCUGCAGGACUGCUUCAGUAAAUUUAAAGAAGAGUUCCUGCAGUAUUCCCAUUACAUCAGGACGAAACCGGACCCGGACUCAGCGCUGGUGAAUCAGGCGGCCGAUUUCUUCAGGGUGAAGCUGCCCAUUCUGCCUCCGCUGUCCCCUUUGGCCUUCCCACAGUGCCUGGCGGCACCGACCCAGCGCCUCUCGCAGUACUGCGAAGCCCUGGAGGAGCUGGGCAGCCUCAACAGCGCCCCCGAGGCCGCGCUCUCCACCCUUAGGCACAUCCAGCGGCACGGCGAGGACCUCCGGGCCAGUGACCUCAUAGUGGGCUGUCCGGUACCGGUGGCCGAGAGGGGCGAGUUGGUGCGCCAGGGGGAGCUGCUAGUGUGUAGCGGCGCUCGCCGCAGGAAGGCGGGGCUCCGCUGCGUCUUUCUGUACCGGCACUUCCUGAUACUCACCAAGACCAAGACCCCCAGCUUGGGCCGGACCGUCUACAGCUUUAAGCACAGCAUUAAGGUGGGGGAGAUGGGGCUGACCCAGUGCGUCGGUGAGGAGGGUGUCAAGUUCGAGGUGUGGGUGCGACAAGCUUCCCGCAUGCGCGACUGCCUCACCCUCCAGGCACAGUCAAGCGACGAACGGACCGCCUGGACCCACGACAUCGCCCAGCUCCUCUGGACCCAUGCGAUCCAUAACACUGAGCUGUGUCUGAAAGAGAGCCUCUGCAUGGGGGUGUCCAGCAAGCUGCUCCUGGACGUGACGGGAGCUCACAGCACGUCUGACCUGGACUCCAGCUACUCGCUCAACGACAGAGUCCACAGCAGUUGCUCGGAUUCCUCCUCGGUGGGGAGUCACAAGGAGGGGGGGGGAUCACCGGCAUCGGGGAGGGACCCUGAAAAAAGUGUCGGACAGACGGGGCCCGCACAGCAGAACUCAUCUCCUUCCACUGCUGUGUAACCCUUAUCUCCACAACAACCGUAAGUUUCCUGGCACACACCCCUUUAUCCUACACUCUGCCCUGUCCUCCUCCUGCAUGGCCUGUUCACCACUGCGUUCUGUCCGUGGGAAGGAGACCGAGGCUCCCCUGUCCGCACCGCGGUACAUCGACGGUACCCGGAGGAAUCAUCGCUCCUGUUUCACUGAGAGGAGCAUCCGCAACGGGGCCAAACUGGAUCUUGUUGGAACAAAAGAGUGUGAUGGACAAGGACGCCGUGGGACAGAACACUGGAAACGCCGACAUCGCGCAACCCCGCCCCCCCCCCCAGCCUCCUUGCCCCCCGUGGGCCACCAUCUUGGCUCCGGCUGUCACAGUUGCACAAGCGGCUGUUGAAAUCAGAGCCUCGCCCAUUAUUGGCUUCACCUCAUCAUUCCUGGUCCGAAGAAAAGAAGAACCGCGACCAGCAGCAGCAGCAGCUCUGGAUAAGUAGGAAGUCUGCAUCAGAAGUGGGUUAUUGGUGACAAUCAUAACUCCCAUGACAGUCAUGUGCAAAAUAUAUGUUGUAUGAAAUAGCUCUUGUAUCCACGCUUUCGGUGACCAAAGUGCAGAACACGCAGUAUUACAAAUGUAAAAAACUAACACUAUUGACUGUAACAGCAAAGAUACACAUUUCAAUUAAUUUAAAUGUAAAUUUAAUUUAAAUCACACUUGUUACAGCGAAACCUUGGAUGCGAGCGAAGAGCACAUACUGCGCACAAACCCGCAGUUCUGCUAUUCAUAUAUAUAGGAAUACGUAUAUUAUCCCAGAGGCAGAGUUUCUUCUCCUUCACCCGGAACACGGUGAAAUCAGCAUUUUUUAAUACGUACCGACAGCAGCUCAGCAUUUCUGUCGAAUCCAUGUCUUAUUUACCCACACUUUUAAAAAGGAGGUGUGAGCAGCAGCCGCCGCCGCCACCUGCCAAAAUCAUCAUGUCAUUUCUGAGUUGUGGUGGGGAGACUCCAGGCCUUCAUUUCUUUCUCACCUGAAAAGUCGCAUCAGUGUGUGUUUGCGUCAGCUACACUAACCUGGCACAUAAUACCAAGUAUCACCUGUGUAACUGUAGCAGUAGCGUUGCCGUACCGUGGUAUGGAGUGCGGCGGCCCAUCGCCCGUGACCUGCUCGACCUCUCCUCUCCAGCGCUCUUUCCUCAUCUCCGCAAACCGACGAUCGAGUCGGACUCGUUCAGGUGUCCGCUGCCCUCGGUCCGAGGGCGACGCCUCAAAAGAUGCAGAUGUAUCGGGAAAUGAACAGAAUAAAUUUGUAUCAGUGGCAUCAUUAUUACGCUCGUCGGACUUGGCCGUAUCUGGUUAAAUACAGACACUCCUCUACUUACGUAAAUUUGACUUACGUGUAAAUUCGGAUUUACGUUAAAAAUUCCCGCCGUGCACAUUUACAGAUAGCGCUUAUGCAAAACAUCUGAAAUAACGUUAAGUGCAAGUCGGCGUAGCCAGACAAGGCAGGAAGCUGCAUCUUCCCGGUUCCUGCGAGUUUUGAGUCGUGAACACGUCUCCUUUCGUUAGUGUAGUGUUUUUUUGCGCAUAUUUUUACCAAUUUCGUUAUUGACAACGCCUGGUGGUAAAUGUGCACUUGAAGAAAAACGAGAGCCGUCUCGCAAGCGUACAGCAAUCGAUUUGGAGAUGAAAAUGGCAAUAAUAAGGAAGUAUGAAGGUGGAAAAAGAUGAUAAUCUAUAACACGGAAACCAGGUUCAGCCGUAUCGACUAUAAAUACGAUAGUGAAGGAUGCUGCACGUAUAAAGAAACACGUGAAAGGAACAGCUAGCAUGAAAACAACCAUAAUAACGACGAAAUAUCAAGAUGCAAUAACUGAGAUGGAGAAAUUAUUAAUGUUGUUAUGUUAAAUGGUGGGGGAGGAGGAGGAAUCAGACGUACGUAAAUUGUGACUUACGUAAGCGGUUGAAGAACGGUCUAUUUGCGUAAGUCGAGGGGUGUCUGUAUGUUGCCACCCGCGUUCUUCUAUACGUGUUACAGUAAUUCACAGCAAUUCACGUGUCUCCUUGUCCUUUCUGGUGUUCGCGGAACAUGCAGGACUGGAGGGUGGUUGGGAAAGGACUGCGAUUUGUACAUUGUCCCAUUUGAUGCGGACGAUCGGUGAAAAGUUUGAGUAAACUCGCUUUAAAUUUUUUUCUUUUUUUUUUAUUAUUGUUAAAUUUUAAUUUUGAGCAGGAAAUGGCCCAGCAUGUGUUCUGCAGCAGUUUCCAGGGAUGUAGGACACUUGGCUAUUUCACCGUACAGUCCAGUUUACCCCAUACAUGUAUUCCCCAGACUGUCCGGGCGUACUCAAACUUUUGACUGGAGCCGCAUAUUCUCUUACUCCAUAUCUUGUGUAAGAAGCCCUUGCUGGUUCAGCGUUUAAGUGGCCGUAUCAGACUUGCUCUUUUUCACCAUCCUGCAUUCGCCAGCAGGCGAAGAAGGGAAAAAUCUGAUGUACUGUUUGGAGAUACAGUAAAUGUACAGUAAAUGUGUUCGUUCGCUCGCUACGACCUGUUCUGAAAUCUGUUUACUUACCUGCAGUUGGAUUUACUCAGAUGUACUUACUCACCUGCUGGGGUUUCACCUACUGAGUUGUUGAAGGUGCUUGGAAUAAAAAAAAAACAUGUAUUUUAAAAUAUAUUUACUACAUACAGCUAUGUUUAAAUGAGCUUCCCAGCAGAUUAAGUUUUGCAUUUUUAUGCUAAUCAUGUUCAGUGUAAAUAUGGUCUAUUUCACCAGAUAAUAUUAUAUUAUUGUUUCGG